rnacentral:lncRNA from 1 species
GGAUCCCGAAAGGAGGGCGCUGAGAGAUCUUGUGACUCCGAAGGAGGCAAAAAGAAGGGCCGGCACGGCGGGAGGAGCCACGCGCGAGAGCGAGGGGCGGGGCGGCGGUCACGUGGCCGGCCGGCCGGGCGGGAGGGGCUGGCCAGAGGCGUAAACAACUUCGUCCGGCUGGGUGUGGUUGGGGUGCGUGCCGUCUGUCCCGCGCUCUUUCUCCCCUUCGCAGACCUUGUGCCCCUCUAGGGUGUCUCUGCCCCCGGCCACAGAGCUGCGAUGCUGUUCCCAGAGAGCCCCUGGGGUCCGCGUGGGUGAAGGGUCUGCUCUGGAGCCUUGGUGGAGUGGCAGCUCACCCAGGGAAGGAGGGCGGUGCUCACAGGGCAACCCGCUUUCUUUUGCAGAGUAUUUGCAGAAGCCCACCUCUGGGACUGCGGAGAACUACAGUGGCUUCUGCCGUCAGGUUGCUGACGCUUUAGACCUGCUCACGACAUUUAUGGAAAACCGUGCUAAUCGGAGCAGGCAGCUUUAAAAUCAGAACCGUACGUUCAGUUCCUGCUCUGCUGCUUCCUAGCUGUGUCGACCUGAACAAGUCUGGAAGUCCUCCGAGCCUCAGUUUUUUCCUCUGUGAAAUGGGCGUGGUAACGUUCGUGACGUGGGGAUUCAGAGAGAUCAAGGAUGGAGGGUGUGUUCCACACAGUGCCCCAUGCAGAGUAAAUGCUCCAUAGAUGAUGGUCCUUGUCACGCAGGAGGGGUUGCUGGCAGUCUUUGGCGUUCCUUGGAGCAGCUGCAUCACUCUACUGUCUGCCUCUGUCUUCAAGGAGCGUGGAGCCCAGCAGAUGAGAUGGGAGAGGGACCGACCAUCCUGUGACUCAGAGUCAGCUCCAGCCCAGAACACGCUGCAAAGCGCUACAGGACAAAGAGGCAGUGCUCGGGGUGCUGCGGGUGACCCGUCGGUGUGGGUGCGGUUUGCCCUUUGCCCCUGGUUUAAUCAGGAAUUCGAUGAAUGGUGACGGGCAGAUGGGCUUUACAGGAGGAAGACCCAGCUUGAGCAAAGGCAAGGAAGCAAAACCACCUAAGGCUCUCUUGCUUGAUAAAUGGUCAGGUUGAAGAUAUGCAUGAAAUAGGAGAAAAGAAGGGCAGCCUGGAGGGCCUCAAGCCAAAUAAGAAGCCUGAACUAUAUCUGAAGGCAACAAGGAGCCCCUGAAGCUUUGAAGGUUGAGGAAAGAAGAGGAGAAAGUUGUCUGCCGAAUAUUGGCAAAGGCUUAAUCUUGACUUUAAUGCCUGCCGAUUUAACUUCGAAAUCCUGGGCUAUCUGUCUCCUUACCCACAUCCCCAAUCAUUCUCUGUACACCUAUUGCAAUACAGUGUGCGGGGCCACCCCACACAGUUCGAUAGCUGCUAAAGAGUUCCGUGGUCACCAUGAGACCUCCUCGAUCCCCACAAAGCGGAAGUGUGCACAACUAGAGGUUUUCUUUUAGCUGGGCCUCCUCUGAAGAACACGAAGUGACCAUUUGGAAAAAGAUAAAUUUAGAUCCCUACUUCACACCCUACACCAGGAUAAACGCCAAAGGGCUCAGAGCUCGAAGUGUCAAAAGUGAAACUGUACAAGUGCCAGAAGAAAACAACGUGGG